rnacentral:sRNA from 1 species
UGAACACUGUGGAGGAAAAGCGCCAUGCCGCUGGGAAAAACUCGAUACUACCACCGCCAACGAACUUAUUGCUCCCCCAACUGUUGCCUUUUCGGCCCUGGAAGUUGGAAUAUAUUCUUCACGCUAUCGAUCAGCAACUGGUUUCGCUCAUGAUCGCCGCUAUCUGGAGACCCACCAACACAGAUCAUGAAUUUGUUCCCUUCCAACUUACAUGUCAAGGGUUGAAGGAAGAGACAAGAACCAACACGCAAACAAACCAAAGGCAAAAAGCAGGGGGGCCCGAUAAAACUCCAGCAUGAGUCUGGAUAGUUAAUUAACUAUCCUAACUCACAACUCAACAUUUUGUAAUAAUAAGCUUCUAUCCCGGCUAUAUUUCGGUUCCCCCCCCUACUCCCCUCCUUCCCCUACACGGGUAACAGUGGUACGAUCUAUCUGUCUCAACUCCAUUGCUAACAGCGAAACGGAAGCCACACCGCGGAGUCACGGACUGAUGAUUCGAGCAUCCAUGAACCCGAGUCCCUGAGAGGUCAAGAUGUGGGUCGUCAGGGGCUUGCCGAGGAGAAGGAUCGAAUACUUCGGAGUGAGAGAGCAUUUUGAACAGAAGCCAAGAGGCUCCAGGUCUGGUAACGUCUCCGCUCGGGUCAAGUCAAGGGGCUCGACUCGUAGUUACUUCUAUUUUUGGUGCCCUGUUCCUCGUAAGGAUUGAACUAUUUAUCAUUAUUUAAUGCACCAUGCCCGGCCAAGACUGGCUAGGAGUUUUAGCUACUACCUUUCAAGGAUAUAACGGAGUAAUCAGCCACAAGCUUUCAGCUUUCGGCAUCUGCAGUUCUGAGGCAUUUGCAGACGCCUGAAAUAUAAUAUCAACGCUUGGCCUCGGAUCAUUCCAACCCCGAUGCCGUAUACCUAACUUCACAACCAAGCUUUAGUCUAAUUCCUUGGGACCAGUCUGAGGUGCGCGGGACAGGUGUAUAUAAUAUAUAUUCAUACAAGGCAAAAAGCACUGGGACAUUCUAUUCAUUUCGCUGCAUAAACUGUUAUUGAUGCUAACUGUGGAGCACACUUAGCGGUCUCAUGGGCUGCUAGUGCUCUCUGCAGAGAAGAGAUUUGAUCGAGUUACGCUGCGGAGUGAGGUGAACUGAGGUCAAUGGAAGUGACUAAAAUGUGCCAAUAGUUACUAGUAACCUUUCAAUCAA